rnacentral:tRNA from 1 species
CAGAAUAAAGCUUAGUAAGCAUUUCAUUUACACUGGGAAGAAGCUGUUAAAAG